GCCAUCCGCAUACCGCAUCUGUUCCAUACCGAGGACCCCCUCCAUGCCGCCGGUGCAGGUGAGACCCAGAUCGCAGAUCUAGUCCAGGCCGAUGCUGCCCACAGCUGAUGCCGGCAGCUGCAGCUCCCCUCCAAGGUGGCGCCGUCCGCAUACCGCAUCUGGUCCAUACCGAGGACCCCCUCCAUGCUGCCGGUGCAGGUGAGACCCAGAUUCCGUCUUUCUCUCUCUCUCUCUCCCCCUGGAUCUGAAAGACCUAGUAAAUUUCCUUCUUUGAGAAAAUAGUUUGGGCUCCAGUCAGUUUCUUGUCUUAUAAUAAUAGAUUGGUUGAAAAUGCAUUCUUGGUUGAGAAUAUAACAUGUUGGAGAUGAACAAUUAUUCAGACUGAGUUGUUUGAGCAUGAAAAAAAAAAUCAUUUUCUUAACUGCACGGAACAAAUACCAUUUACUUAUUCAGAAGUAUGCUUGGUCUGGAAUGCUUUGAUACCUAUAUUUGUGAAGCUAUCUAUUUUUGCACUGAACAUUGCUUGUACUGAUGUAUGCACUUCAUUAAAAAUGAUGCGAGAGACCACAUUUUAGCUUCUGUGCAUGGCAUCAUACAAAGUCCGAAAUAGCCAUAUAUUUACAUUAUCAGUGUUAAGGAAGGAAACCAGGACAAAUUUUACUACAUGAUGUACACAGGGAAGUGGCAAAAGUGUCUAUUCCAGUACCACUUAACAGAAAUUAACUGAAAAAAUGAUGGAAGUAGCAGAUAAGGAAUGAAAGCUAGAGUGGACGGCUGAUAACCGAAAACUUUUUAGCUACAAAUAAGGCACAAGUUAUCUUCUGAUGGCAAAUAAAGGAUGCUGUCUAAAAAAAUCAGAUAUACAUGUGAACCAUACCAAAUCAGUCCAAAAUUGUAGCUACAGAUCACAAUGCCAAGUAUGUUUAUAUUGUCUAACAUACAAUCAAAGGUCGUCACAAUUGUAAUGAAAAAAGGUGAGCAACACUGUCGGUUGAUCUGUUCUAUUUACCACAAACCAUUAGUCAACUCUAGUUCUCCUGUAAUUCAUAAUGUUACUAUGUCGCAACAAAUAUCACUGUUUUCAGCAGUAGAACCAUUUUCUAUUGGAUCCUUGUAAUUGAAUUUAUUUCAAUGUUCAAGAAGAAGCUAGGCAGUUUCUAGGUGACGACCCAUGGCCUAGAGCCUAAGCAACCCUAGGCAUUUCAAGGUGUUUUUCUAGGCGUUUUAAUUUUUAUACACAUACAUAUAUAUUACCUUAAAUUACCUUAAGUAAAAGAAGAAAUAAGAGAUUUGUGGACUUAAAGUUGGAAGAAAGGCCCAUCAAGAAAGCCCAGCUCACCUUAUCCACCCCUUCCACCUUAUCCAUCCAACCAUCCUCCACCCACCGCACGAACCAGAGUCUGUGCUCUGCUUUCUCCGCCUCCCUUCCCUGCUUCUCCGACGUCGCCUGCUCCUCCCUCCUUCCGACGCGCGCCUCCUCCUCCGGUGACACGUGCCUCCCCCCUCCUCCGACAGCUGUGCCCGCCAUAUCCGCGGCCGUGCGUCCGUAGCGCCGGCAUCUACUGCCGGACAUCCACACCCGCCCUCCUUCACAGCUGCGCCCGCUGCCCACCUUCCUCCCAGCCGUGUCCCAGCCUCCACUCGUCGCCUGCCGCCGCCUCCGUGCCGGCGGCCCGCCCUCCUCCCGGCCACGCCUAUCUUCCGCCUACCCCCAUAGGCAAGGCGGCACCCCUCCGCCUAGCGCGGCCCAGGUGAGCACCUAGAAACGCCUUUUUGAACAUUGAUUCAUUUUAAUAAUCAUAAUUUAUACACAGAUUAAUUAAGCUAAUAUGGUCGUAUAUGGAAUAUAUUUAUAUAUUAUUGUGGGCCAUAUGAGAGAGAUACUUAUGCGUUGCAUUUGUACCGGAGGGGAGCGAGUUGAAGAGCGUGUUAUAAGUUGCAAAGUAGAGACAUAGCAUGGUGAUCUACAAAAUCAAUUUCCAUUUCCCACCCUAUGAAUCUGAGAUGGGCUAUGUGAACUUUGGAAAGUUGUGGAAUGUCAAAUUCCAAGCCAAAUAGCUUUGUCUAUUAAGUAGAUUCCAAUUCCCCCAAAAUGAAAGGAUCCAAACGGCCCAUAACAGAAAAGGGGCUGAUCAUAAUUGAACUGAGAGUGAGAAUUUGUGAUUCAAAGCAAUUAAAAGUUAAUGUUAAACAGAAUGUGGAUCAACUACCAGCCUCAAUUAUCUGCAAAAUUUAAAAUGCCUGCUCCUAUUGACAUAGGAUGAUUGCAUUCACUUACAGUUACAGAGCAGUGAUACUAAAAACAGCACAUGCAAUAUUUUUGCUUGAAAUGUUUGAAUAGUUCAGUUUCUCACAGUGGUUUAUCUACCUGUUCAAGAACUGCAUGUCGCAGGCUUGCAAAAUCAUGAACUUCAUCCUUUGAUUCCAAAUAAGCGUUUGCUGUCAUCAGAAACAAGUUCAAACCAUAAGGAAAUAUGCAUGCCACACACAUUUACUAGCAUAUUAUGAAAAGUAUACUGUAAUUCAAGAGCACUACCCGCAGCAUCACUUUCAAGCCAAGCUGGUCCUGUCUGAAUUCCAGCCAUGUUUUGUAGGGUAUUGGUUGAGAUCAUAUCAUGAUUUCCAUUAUAUGAGCCACCCAACAGCUGAGAACCUCUGCUUGAACCAAGACCAGGAACAGGCAAACUAGUCAUCUUGUACCUUCCUCUAGGAACAUCGAGGGAUAUGUGUUCACGUCCAGCUGAAGGUGAAACAAUAUCAUCUGCGAGUAUAGCUGAAUGAGAUCUAUAUGGACUGUUUGGCAGACCAAAAGAUUCAUUACUAUAGUUUCCAAGACCAUUUUGGGCAUAUGAUGCUGGUGAUGGAGGACUUGAAUUUCCAAAUGACAGUGACCUGAGGUUCUGACCAAGUCGUCCAUCAACCUUACUCUGUUAUUAGGCAUACAAGAAUAAUUAGCAAAUAUAUGUAGAAGAAUUCAUGCAGUAAACAAAUACAAUAGCCAUUUCCAUGAAGCAUGUUGAAAAAUAGAAUAAAAUUUUGUGCAAGCACAGCGCAUGCAAUUUGUUAGCAGAAGGAAGAUCAAAGGAAGAAUUGUUUCAUUAUUGCUCAGAAGUAGAAUAAAAUCAGAGUAUAUGGAGUCACAGUGAAUAGAUUGACCUGGAGAGGAGGGAAAAAGUUCAGCGCCUUCUAGAGGAUAAGCAAUUCCCUACAUUAAGCUACUAGUACACUAUGCCCGAACAUAGACCCGACAGUAUGAAUGUAUGUACAAUCAAUCUGCAUUAAAAUAAGCCAGUUUACAGUGUUCUUGGAAAUUUAAAAUAAAAAGGUCAUAAUUUAAGCAAUGCUUUGAAUUUUAGAACCAAUCAUCCAAUAUAGAACUGGAUAGUGAGACUGAUACAUUAGGUGCACAGUAGCUUCUCUUUAAGCUGAUCUUUUGCAUAGAUAGUUAAGUUAUAAGUUGUCAGCGACAUGACAGUUUCAGGACAGUAGGUGUGCAACUUUUGAAAAGAAGAAUUUGAUACAAACAGCAUAGUGGAUAACAAGAAACAUGGCCACAUGGGACAAAACAACUUUAGACAAAUAGCAUAGUUUAUAAAUUAGGACACUGAGGACAGACCUCCAGCUGACUCAUGAUAUCCAUAGUCGAGCUUAAGCUGCGCCUGCUUCCAUACACAUCACUAAGGUUGUGCAAUGAAGCUCCUGAAAUUUGAAGGAAAAAUCUUAGGCCUAAAGGACCACACCCUCAUGAAAGAAAAAUUACAAACCAUCACCAUACCAAUGCUAGAAUCUCCAUUGUAGUGACUGGUAUCCCUUCUGCUUGUGUUAUAAUGUACCCCAUUCCUCAUAGUCUUCACCCAUGGAGCAGCAUUUGGACUCAUGGAACCUGCAGUUGGACUCAAAAUUGUGGCUUGGGACCGUUCAUCCAUAUAAGUUGGGCCAGACAAGUUAAUCUUUGGGCGCGUACUCAGUUUGUCCCUGAUAAAAGGCGAAGCAUGGUGCUGCAUGCUCAGUGCCUGGUUUGGAGAAAAUAUUGAUGUGCCAAUGCCAUCAUUUAUGGACAGGCCUGUGAGUGAUAGACUGUCAGGUCCAGUACUUUCAUCUUGUCCCAGGACUUUGAAAUCAGGGGUAAUGUCAUCAGGGAGCUGUUGCUGCCAGUACUGAUGUGCUUCUUCAUCAGAGUUACUUCGUAAAAUGGACUCUGGCUUGUCUGUGCUGGAUUCUUUAGAUGGCCCUGAGACAACCAUAGUUGCAUCUGAUCUCUUGGAGGAAUCAUUGACAGAUCUAAGGGAUGAAGGAACAAAUUCCUCUGCAUUUGGAUUUAGCAUAGUGCUCUUGCUUAUCAUACUUAUCUUCCUCUCUUCUAUGGACAUUGCUGACAGACAGAUGUACCUCUUCUCAAGAAUGGUAAGAUUGCUACCAAAGAGUAUGACACACCAAGGAGUACCGAGUCUUCUAGAGUGAUUGUUCGUUGUGCCUAUUAGACAGAGUUGGGGCAUGGUAGUAAAUGUUAGAUUUCUGCAAAUAGAAACUUAACAGAAUCACAGACUGCUCCUAACUCUAAGAAUGAAGCAAAAGGCCUUGAUCAUGAUAUAUUUAAGCGGAACUAACUUAGAAAAAUAACGACAAACAAAACUCAAAAUCACUGACCUCUCACGGCCAUGCUACCACUACAUCCUUUAACACGACUAAACAAUCAGGUCAAAGGAAAUUACAGAAAGAUAAUGUCAUAAAUCCAAAUCACUAAGAAACUGGGGACAGGUAUGGAUGAAAAUGUCAAAUAGAAAUUGGCUUUAUGCUGAAAGUGAGAAAAAUGUAACUUAAAGGUUCAGAUUUAUGCAGAAGAAAUGGACAUAAGACACCAAACAUGCACAAAGAAGAACUAUGGUACUGAGCUGAACAUCCCUAAUCACUCCUGAAUUGGGUUUCAAACUAGCGCAGGCACAGUGUCACUCAUAUUUCACACAUCAACAAAGGUAUAAGAUUAAGAACUCCUAUUGCUUGGGGGAUCCAAUUAUGAGCAAAUGACUUUUAUUCUAGCAUCGGUACAUCAGAAAUCUAGUACAAUCAAAAGGCUGUUGUAUUUCCAACAUAAAGUAUUUAAAAUGUAAUAUUCUGAUCGCAAAAACAACUUCUUGAUAGAAGAAAACAUGUGCCACUAAAUUCCUCAUUGUUCUUUGUUGACCAAGCAGAAGGAUUCUACAAUCAUCACCUUGCACUGGAUAAUAAUAAUUGAAGUAUAUGCUCGCCAGUGCUCUAUUCUAAAAAUAUUGACACCAGCUACUGCACCAUUAACCAUUCAUAAGAAGAAGAAAAAAACAUGGGGAAUUGGAAAUUUGAAGAAGACAGAACAUUUAAACCAGCAUCUUUACUAAAAGUAUAUAAAAAGCAAGCUCAGGUGCGACCCAACAGUAACACCCCCCUCAGGAAGCAGGGGCGGGCUUCACCUGAGCCCCAAAAUUUUGGAAAACAAGCUGCGCCAACACCUUGAUUAGGUAACAACAAAGCAAGAACUCGUGCACUGUCAACUCAUGUCGAUCUUGCCCGUUUUCAAGAAGAAGAACAAGAAUCUAGACAGACCACGGAUUGAUUUAUUGGAUUAGCAGGACAUCCGGCAGCACACAAAUCUACAACAACUGAACGAAGCAGAAGAAGAAUUUUAGGGUUCGAUUGGCAACAAAGCCCUUUGAACUAGGGAAUCCAAGCAUCCAAGCAAGCUCGGAUAUGAUUCUUACCAAAACGAAGGUAAGAGUACCGCGCCCGGACGGAUCUCUAGACCGAGAGAAGAGGGGUUGCCGGCAGAAGUGGACUGAGAAGCGGCGGGCUGAGGACAGGCGCAGGCAGGGAGGGAGGGACCGGCGGCGAUGCGCUCGGCAGCGUCGCGUAUGGCGGCGUGUGCGUGGAGUGAGUGCGGAGGCGGAUUGCAGCCACACGUUGACACUUCACCUGUUGCCUUCGCCCUACGCCCACAUUGAUUUUCUGUGGCACCUCUUUCUUUCCUACUCCACCUUGCAAUCACGGUGUGGUGCGCAAAUGUGGGUACUCCUCCGCUCCAAUUUUUACUCGAUCGGGUGUUUUUAGUUUGUCUUACUUAUAAGUUUAUUUUUUUCUAAUUUUCUUACUUAAGUUUGUAGAAAAAAAUAAUGCAUCAAGAUCUAUAACAACUUAACUUUAUUGUUAAAUCAAUCAUAAUAUAUAUAUCUAUUUGGUGUUAUAGAUGUUAAUAUAUUUUUUAUCAAAGUUAGCAAAGGUUUACCUAUAAAAAAAUACCUGACAUUUAGAACAAAGAGUACUAGAUAGCAUCUAUUUUUUGUUAUCAUUGUAAUGUUUUGUUUUACUAUCGUUAUCAAAGUAAUGUUAGAGGCAGGGGUGGAUCUAGCACGAGGUGGGGGGUGAGCUCAAGCCCACACUAUUUCUACUCGGAGCACGGAGCCCCUUCUACAAAUUCACUCAUAUAAAAGCUUUAAAGGAAGAGGUUAGAGAUGAAUGAAAGAUAAUAAAAGAAGUCUCUCCUACAAAUUUGUUCCUAUAAAAAUUUUAAAAAUAAACUAGAGACAUAAGAGAAUAAAAGAAAUCCUCGUCACUAGCACCGGCACUGGCUAUAGUAGAGUAUACGCAAUACCACAUUAUUACCAUUAAAAAGGUUAGCACACUAUAAUGCUUGGAGUACCAACAUAGUGGCCGCUAUUCGGUCCUAAUAGAUGUUCAUUAUUGACAUGUUGUUAAUGUCUAUUUCUUUAUUUUAAAUUGUCAUCUUGUUACAAUAUUGUAUGUCCUUAAAUUGUGUUACAAUCAAAAGGCAUGUGUUGUCAUCUUAUCAUGCUGUACAAGUUCUGCUCCUAAAAUCUAAAUAUUUUUGCAACGAAAUUGGCACCACAUGCCAUCUUAUAGAGAAAAAUAGCAUCAUAAGAAUAUGAUGUUAACAUAUGUCCUUAAAUUUAAAUUUUAUCAAGAUGUAUAUGCAAUGACCUUUCCUAAAUGCAAUGUCUUACCCUACUUAGGUUUGCCAGGAUCUCAACGUUAGAAUUUUGUGGUCUUAUGGAGCUGAUGUCACAUGAAUCGAUAUACUUGUAAAAUCGUAAUAUGUCGAGGAUAGAAAAUUGAUACUAUUGGUGGGAUCGUAUCCAAUAACAUUUUGAUAUUUUUAUGUCUUUAUUACAUGUCCUAUGAUAAAUAAUGUUCAUAAGUGUGCGACAUUUUAAAUGGUUUAUCAUGAUUAAAUAAUGUCACAAGCUUCCUCACAAAUAACAAUAAUAAUAAUAAUAAUGUUAUACAUAUUUGGAUGGGCUAAAAGUUUUAGCCCAUCAAAUAGGUCUAUCUCUCUUAUCCAACUCUUUUGGACUCGUCUCAUCAAAUCAAAAGGGGUGGCACUCUCCCGAGGACACUAGUGCCGCUGCCCUCUCCCAACCACCGCCGCCGCCACGGCUCAGUCCUCCUCCUCCUCUCUCGUAACCGGUGAUCUCAUUGGUGGACAGAGGAGCGAGGACUCAAACCCUUUUGUCUUUCAUAGUUUUAGAUUAUGUUUGUGGAUCCGUGUUGAUCUAGGGUUUGGUUCAGGUGUCGACGACGAUGGUACUUUAGAAUAAGGUCUCUCUAGUAUAUCCCUACCUCGACGACGUCCGAUCUAGCGUUGGCGAAGGACCAGUGAGAUUUUGGUUUGUUAGAUCUAUGAUCUUUAGAUCUUGGCAGUUGUGCUUACCAGAGGAAGUAGAUGGUUGGCUUCUGAUGUGGCGAUCUUGAUCCCUUCUUUUGGUUUGUUCUACCUUAAGGCUCAAAAUCUUCAAUACUCUGUUUUGAUGGUCAAGGAUCGUAAACCUAUGUUCCUUAGAGGAUUUCUCUAGCAGAUGUUCUUUUAGUGGAUACUAGAUCUCGUUCGUUGGAUGAGAGCGGAUUUUGUGGUUUUCAAAGCCAUGUUUGGUGUGGGUGUUUGCAGACCCUUUUCUUUAUUGUAUUUGCAAUGCGGUCUUCUGGCAAACAAUUGAGUCCGAAAGAAGAAGAAGACCGAUUUAAUCUUUGGUGUACUCUUAUUUUUUAUAAGUCGUUUUGUGUCUUUUUGUCUAUAGUUUGUGCUAACAUUUGCUUUUCUUGAGAUAAUCAGAUAUGAAACUCUUUUGAGUUUAUUCUUAAAAGGUUCUAUGAAUUUAUGGUGCUAAGAAAAAGACAAAUAACCCUAGCCCCGGCUUGCCUUCAGGGCAAGUCUAUUUGAUUUUAGAUUCUUUUAAUUAAUUAUGUAUAUAUAUAGUCUAAUCUAAUCAAAAAAAAUUUGAAUGAAAUAUUAGUGUGCCUUCUCUGAAAUGAAGUUAGGAGAGGAGUGUGUCUUCUUUGACUUGCUUUGUUUGUCUCGUGAAGACAGCCACGGACCCACCUCGUGCCCGUGUCCGUGUGGCCGUGCACCCGGGACCACCUCGGGGGUUGUUGAAGGCUAGGAACUGGCACGUGGGGCCCACCGGAAGUGGUGCCGCGACCGGGGCUGCGAGAUGCGUUGCACUACUUUUUAUCUCCUUGUUCCGUGGGCCGAAUCAUCCACACCCAAUCCUGCUGCAC
rnacentral:lncRNA from 1 species